UAAUAAAUUAAAAAAAUCAACGAGGCAUUUGAUUAACAGGCUCACUGGCUUUCAGACCUCUCCCUCUCUCUCUUGUAGUGCACACGGCGGGCGGGAAACUGAUAAUCUGGGAACAUCCUUCCCUCCAAACCCUAACCCUAACCAUAACGCUUCUUCUUUCCUUCCUCCAAAUUACAGACAGGUCAGGUUAUCUUCCUCACUCAUGGCACUUCUACACAAACCGCAUACAGAAGACAAAAUCCACAAAUCACCUCUCGAUUUCGAAGAAGAAGAAGCCGGGGGCACUUCUAUACGCUACGUGUCGUUGGACCGCGUCUACUCUGCUGCGUCUCUCUGUGGAUCAUCCAACGUCAUGUCAAAGAAAGUAAAAGCCCGGAAGUUUCUUCCCAACCACCAUCCACGUGUCAACAAUCCUCCUUCGUUACUCUACGUUUAUUCUCGCCGUCCAAAACGACCACCCCGCCCUUCGUUUCAUGAUUCGUUGGUUUCACGCGCCGCUGAGCCUGAGCUGGCGGUGAAGAGUGCGAUUUGUGAAUUUGAGGAGGAGCCGAUGAUUGAGUUGAACAAGGAGAAGAAGAGGAGAAGGAUUGGGAGUAAUGAGUUGCUGAGAUUGGGUGUCGAUUCUAAUAUUCUGCUAGGGUUUGAUAGGCCUCGUUUGAGGGAUUGCCGUAAUAAUACUAACAAUAGUAAUAGUAAGAUUGGAAAUUUUAAGAGAAAGAAGCGUGAUUCUCUGGUGACAAAUUCUGAUAAAUUUUCAGCCCUUCCAGAUACUAGUAAAAGAUGGGUCAGGUUGAAUUUUGAUGGUGUUGAUCCAAAAUUGAUCGUUGGGUUGCCAUGCAAGGUCUACUGGCCACUGGAUGCUGAUUGGUAUUCUGGACGUGUUGUUGGGCACAUUUCAGAUACCAACCGAUAUAAUAUUGAAUAUGAAGAUGGAGAUAAAGAGGAUUUGAUGCUUUCAAACGAGAAAGUAAAGUUCUUUAUUUCUGGCGAGGAGAUGGAGCGGCUGAACCUGAGUGUCUGUGUAAAAAGUACAGAUGGUGAUAGAAAUUAUUAUAAUGAGAUGGUUGUGUUAGCUGCCAGUUUGGAUGACUGCCAAGAUCUUGAGCCUGGGGAUAUCAUAUGGGCCAAACUUACUGGUCAUGCUAUGUGGCCAGCAAUUGUUGUGGAUGGAGCACUUAUUGGUGAUCAUAAAGGCAUAAGCAAAAAUAUUGGAGGAGGAUCAAUAUCUGUUCAAUUUUUUGGUACCCAUGAUUUUGCAAGAAUUAAACCAAAGCAGGCGAUCUCGUUUCUCAAAGGACUUCUUUCUUCUUUCCACCUAAAGUGCAAGCAACCUCGUUUCACUCGAAGCUUGGAAGAAGCAAAAAUGUAUCUCAGUGAACAAAAGCUUUCGAGAAGAAUGCUACAGCUGCAAAAUGGCAUGAAAGCUGAUAGCUGUGAGAGUGCGAGUAGCGAUGAAGGGAGUACAGAUUCAGGAGAAGAUUGCAUGCAAGAUGGAGGGAUUCAAAGGAUAUUGGCUAGGCUGGGUACUUCUCCAUAUGUAAUUGGGGAUUUGCAAAUAAUAAGCCUUGCAACACAGUGCCUGCAAUAUCUUUCUGCUACUCGACUGGGGAGACUGGGUAUUUUGCAAUAUGCAGUUAAUUUAUGUUGUGGCAACCAAUCAUUUACACUUAUAGACUCGUACAUUGUCCUCACAGGAAAGAUUGUCAAGGAUUCUGAACAUUUCCAGGAUAACAGAUUCAUCUGGCCUGAAGGGUAUACUGCCUUGAGGAAGUUUACUUCAAUAAAAGAUCCAAAUGUUCGUAUGAUAUAUAAAAUGGAAGUGUUGAGAGAUGCCGAGUCAAAGAUUCGGCCUCUAUUUAGAGUGACAUUGGAUAAUGGAGAGGAGAUUAAUGGAUCCACUCCAGAUGCUUGCUGGGAUAAAAUAUACAGAAAAAUCAGGAAGAUGCAAGAUGGUAAUUCUAAUGGUUUUAGCGCUGAAAGCGGAGGAGAAAGAAAACUCAAAUCUGGUUCUGACAUGUUUGGUUUCUCUAAUCCUGAAGUUAUAAAACUACUAAAGGGAUUAUCAAAAUCCAUACAUUCUUCCAAACUGUCUACGUGCAAGUUAACAUCCGAAAGAUAUCAAGGCAUACCUGUUGGUUACAGACCUGUUCGUGUUGACUGGAAAGACCUUGAUAAGUGCAAUGUCUGCCAUAUGGAUGAGGAAUAUGAAAACAAUUUGUUCCUGCAGUGUGAUAAAUGCAGAAUGAUGGUCCACGCCCGAUGCUAUGGGGAAUUAGAACCUGUUGAUGGUGUGCUGUGGUUAUGCAAUUUAUGCCGACCAGGGGCUCCUAACUCCCCACCACCAUGCUGCCUUUGUCCUGUUAUUGGCGGUGCUAUGAAGCCUACAACUGAUGGGCGCUGGGCUCAUUUGGCUUGUGCCAUAUGGAUUCCUGAAACUUGCCUAUCUGAUGUCAAGAGAAUGGAGCCCAUAGAUGGGCAAAGUAGAAUCAAUAAGGAUCGUUGGAAGCUCUUAUGUAGUAUCUGUGGCGUAGCUUAUGGAGCUUGUAUCCAAAUGCCUUCUGGAGCUGAGGGACUGGUUGGUCAUUUUAGUUUCUGUUUGGAAUUUGCUUUCUCACAAAGGGCUAACCUUUUCUACUGGUGUUCAAAUAAUACUUGUCGGGUAGCAUAUCAUCCACUUUGUGCACGUGCUGCUGGCCUUUGCGUUGAGCUUGAGGAUGAGGACAGACUCUAUCUCCUUUCUCUAGAUGAAGAUGACGCAGAUCAGUGCAUUCGUUUACUUUCCUUUUGCAAGAAGCAUAGGCAGCCUUCUAAUGACCGUAUGGUCACAGAUGAACGGGUUGGUCGAAUUCCUCGUCGGUGUUCUGACUACAUCCCACCGUGUAAUCCAUCUGGCUGUGCUCGUACUGAGCCUUACAAUUAUUUUGGGAGAAGGGGGCGGAAAGAACCGGAAGCCCUCGCUGCUGCAUCCUUGAAGCGAUUGUUUGUAGAGAAUCAGCCGUACUUGGUUGGCGGUUACUCUCAACAUGAAUCAUCAGGAUGUACAAUUGCUUCCAAUGGACUCAUAAAGUCUGUCUUCUCUUCUAGUCUUCAAAGGCUAAAAGCCUCACGGCUUAGUGCUCCUAGUAACAUUCUCUCUAUGGCUGAAAAGUAUCAACACAUGCGGCAGACCUUCCGCAAGAGAUUAGCAUUUGGCAAAUCUGGAAUCCAUGGAUUCGGCAUCUUUGCAAAGCAUCCACAUAGGGCUGGGGACAUGGUGAUUGAAUAUACUGGUGAACUUGUCAGACCUCCAAUAGCUGAUAGGAGAGAGCGCUUUAUAUACAAUUCAUUGGUGGGUGCUGGGACUUACAUGUUUAGAAUUGAUGAUAAACGAGUAAUUGAUGCCACAAGGGCUGGAAGUAUUGCUCAUCUGAUUAAUCACUCCUGUGAGCCCAAUUGCUAUUCGAGAGUUAUAAGCGUUAAUGGUGAUGAGCAUAUAAUUAUAUUUGCAAAGAGAGAUAUUAAAAGAUGGGAAGAGCUCACAUAUGAUUAUAGAUUUUUCUCAAUUGAAGAAAAACUAGCAUGCUAUUGUGGCUUCCCUCGAUGCCGUGGUGUGGUUAAUGACACAGAAGCUGAGGAGCAAGUGGCAAAGCUCUAUGCUCCACGCAGUGAAUUGACAGACUGGAAAGGAGAAUAAAAGAGCGUGGAUGAUUGAUUUCCUAAUGUCACUUUCCAUUCUGAAAACUCAGUUAUCUUGAACGUUUAUCCACACGAGUAUCUGUUCCCCUUUCAAGGUAUGUGGUGCAUUGGAUGGCAGAACAGUGGCCUGCAAUCGAGGGAUAGAAGGAACAUGACACUUUUGGAAGGAAGAGGGAUGCGGAGGCUUGUCGACCAUGUAAAGCGGAUGUUUGGUAUCACUUUCUUAUGAUUGUAAACUAUCAUGAGAUAGAAAUCAUAUUUGGCAGUGUGAGGGAUCAAUAUUCAGUAGAAAGGGACUGCGACUGUAAUCAUUCACCAGCUAAAACAUUAAUCAUUUCCAAAGUUCUCCUAAUCCUUGCUCUACUUUAUUUUUAUGUCAAAUUUAGUAUUUUUAAAGAA